GGAAGGGCGGGGGGCUUACCAUGCAAGUCUCACGAAGCGCGCGGAAGGAAGGCCUUCGGGCCGGAGAGCCGCGGGACUGAGUGGCGGACGGGUGAGUAACGCGUGGGCAACCUGCCCCGUACAGGGGGAUAACAGCCGGAAACGGCUGCUAAUACCGCAUAAGCGCACAGCGCCGCAUGGCGCGGUGUGAAAAGCUCCGGCGGUACGGGAGGGGCCCGCGUCUGAUUAGGCAGUUGGCGGGGCAGCGGCCCACCAAACCGACGAUCAGUAGCCGGCCUGAGAGGGCGGCCGGCCACAUUGGGACCGAGACACGGCCCAAACUCCUGCGGGAGGCAGCAGUGGGGAAUAUUGCACAAUGGGGGAAACCCUGAUGCAGCGACGCCGCGUGAGCGAAGAAGUAUUUCGGUAUGUAAAGCUCUAUCAGCAGGGAAGAAAAAAAUGACGGUACCUGAGUAAGAAGCACCGGCUAAAUACGUGCCAGCAGCCGCGGUAAUACGUAUGGUGCAAGCGUUAUCCGGAUUUACUGGGUGUAAAGGGAGCGUAGGCGGCGCGUUAAGUCUGAUGUGAAAACCCGAGGCUCAACCACGGGAGUGCAUUGGAAACUGGCGGGCUGGAGUGCCGGAGAGGUAAGCGGAAUUCCUAGUGUAGCGGUGAAAUGCGUAGAUAUUAGGAGGAACACCAGUGGCGAAGGCGGCUUACUGGACGGCAACUGACGCUGAGGCUCGAAAGCGUGGGGAGCAAACAGGAUUA
rnacentral:rRNA from 1 species